GUUGGGGGUGGGCGUAGCGGCUGAUGCAUGUCAAGCAACGCACGCCCUCCUGAUCAUCUCUCUGGGAAUUCAGACUUCAGAGAGAGGACGAACGCCAUUAGAGCAAGAAGUACUACUAAGCUCACAUCUCAUACUCUACAUACAGAGAUGCAGUGUUCGAGCACGGCCGUGCUUCUUGCUUGCGUCUGCUUGCGACCAUUUUUCUCCUCCUCCAAUGGCUGGUCGCUGCCACUCGCAGCAAUUGGAUAAUAUUCAGCUCAGGCAGAAUUCAAGGCUCCAUCGAAGACCUCACUCACGUGGUACAAGAGCUUUCGGAGAACGUCACCUCAGGAAUCGGAAAGCUUUCGGAGGACGUCACAGCAGGAAUCGGGAAAAUGUUCAACUUAUUGGCCAUAGAUCAUCUUUACUGUGAAAACGGUUGGGUGAAGCUGAGAUCCUCCUGUUACUUCCUUGGCAAAGACACCAGCACCUGGGAACAGAGCCGUAGAAAUGCUUAGCCUUGGAUUCCGACUUGGUCACAAUCACUCGUGAUGAGGAGUACAACUUCCUCCGUGAUCUUGCAAAAGGUCACAGCACCUAUGUAGGACUGAAUGACCUGCAGGAAGAAGGGACCUACAGAUGGGUUGCAGAUGGCACCAUCCACCAAAUCGUUGAAUCAUGGUGGGCUGAAGGCGAGCCCAACAACCACGGUUCACGAGAACACUGUGUCCAUUUCUAUCGAUCCAAAGACGAUCGCCUCAAUGAUCACAUUUGUGCCAAUGAGUUCAGAUAUAUCUGCGAGAAACCUGCCCAACUGGAUUGGAACUCUGAUUCAGUGUCAGAAUAAGAAAUGCCCACAGACAUUGAAAUGGAAGAUGCAUUUGGACUAAGAAUUCCUUUCAAGUGUCUACAUCAAGUGAAAUUGCCUGCUUUUUAUGUGCUUGUAUUUCUUAAGCUGUAUCCUGUUGGACAACUCCAUAGUUCAUGUUAACAUUUCUUCAAUUAACAGUAAUAUAAGAGCAAUAUUUAGGUUUUACUACUGUAUGCUACCUGUUUAACAAUUGGUUAACCUUUUGACUACUAGUUAUACCCUCCACAUAUAUGUUUUAUGUGUUUCGUAUGUAUAAAGGUAUCUAUUUGUUAAUAGAACUGAAGUGCUAUGUGAACUAUAUUUCUUUCCGAGUAGUUUCUGUGCGAUGUUUCACUCUCUCUCUCUCUCUCCAGGUGAGCAGAAUGUGGCAUCCAGGAAAGUAGUUUUUUCAUUUCAAUAAACAUAGUUGAUCUGAUUAGAAAGGU